UACGGAGGAUGCGAGCGUUAUCCGGAUUUAUUAGGUUUAAAGGGUGCGUAGGCGGAUAAGUAAGUCAGCGGUGAAAGCUUGUUGCUUAACAACAGAAUUGCCAUUGAUACUGCUAAUCUUGAGUACAAUUGAGGUAGGCGGAAUGUGUAAUGUAGCGGUGAAAUGCUUAGAUAUUACACAGAACACCGAUUGCGAAGGCAGCUUACUAAGCUGUAACUGACGCUGAGGCACGAAAGCGUGGGGAGCAAACAGG
rnacentral:rRNA from 1 species